UACAGAGGUACCAAGCGUUGUUCGGAUUCACUGGGCGUAAAGGGUGCGCAGGCGGUGGGGUAAGUUUGGUGUGAAAUCUCCGGGCUCAACCCGGAAAUGGCAUCAAAUACUAUCCCGCUGGAGGGUUGGAGAGGGGACUGGAAUUCCCGGUGUAGCAGUGAAAUGCGUGGAUAUCGAGAGGAACCCCAGUGGCGAAGGCGAGUCCCUGGACAACUCCUGACGCUCAUGCACGAAAGCUAGGGGAGCAAACAGG
rnacentral:rRNA from 1 species